rnacentral:ncRNA from 2 species
CGAAUCCGCGCGGGAGAGUCCCGGUCACCUGUGACCUGGACGCCGAAGGAGCAAGCUCCUCCCUUGAAUCUCUCAGGCCCCGUACCGCGCGGAUGAG